CGCUUUCACUCCUACGGGAGGCAGCAGUGGGGAAUAUUGCACAAUGGGCGCAAGCCUGAUGCAGCCAUGCCGCGUGUGUGAAGAAGGCCUUCGGGUUGUAAAGCACUUUCAGUCGUGAGGAAGGUAGUGUAGUUAAUAGCUGCAUUAUUUGACGUUAGCGACAGAAGAAGCACCGGCUAACUCCGUGCCAGCAGCCGCGGUAAUACGGAGGGUGCGAGCGUUAAUCGGAAUUACUGGGCGUAAAGCGCAUGCAGGUGGUUUGUUAAGUCAGAUGUGAAAGCCCGGGGCUCAACCUCGGAAUUGCAUUUGAAACUGGCAGACUAGAGUACUGUAGAGGGGGUAGAAUUUCAGGUGUAGCGGUGAAAUGCGUAGAGAUCCGAAGGAAUACCGGUGGCGAAGGCGGCCCCCUGGACAGAUACUGACACUCAGAUGCGAAAGCGUGGGGAGCAAACAGGAUUAGAUACCCUGGUAG
rnacentral:rRNA from 1 species